GCGCGGAUGGUUUAAUGGUUAGAAUAUCUCGUUGCCAACGAGGUGAUCCGGGUCCGAUUCCCGGUCCGCGCA
rnacentral:tRNA from 1 species